rnacentral:lncRNA from 1 species
UAAGAGCUGCUCCAUUUCCUCUAGGAUUAUUGUGAAGUCACUGACUUCGUUCUUACAUAAGGUUUGCUGUUCCAGGAACUGGACACUUUCCUCUUCUUUCAGCUUCAACUUCACCUUCAAGGCCUGAAAGGGAAAUAAUCCCAAAGGAAAAACCAUAACAAAACACGUAUAAGAAAGACAGCACCUGGGCUAGACCAUUAUACCCGUGCUACAUAGAGGGGGACAACCCCAAUACCAGACAACAUCUUAUUUCCCACCUUAGAAUUUAUCUGUGCUGGUUCAGGGAAUUUUCCCACUCUGUAUUUAAGCGGAACAAUGAAUCCAUCUGUGUCUCCUGCCCCACCAUUUGUCUGGCAAUCUGAAGGAGCCCAAGAAUCUCACCAUGUAGAUCAGACUUCAAACUUACCCAGACCCCUGCCUGUGUGAUAAAAGGCAUCAAAUUCAGACAGCAACGCUUGUAUGGCAAGGACCUUAAUCCACCGACCAGCCAUCUUAAGCCUUCUGGCCACUCUUCCCUUCCAUCCUAAAACAUUAAAAAAACCCAUCUAAUGUGCAUGUGAAGACAUGUGUGCAUGCAUUGAGAUGUGUGUGGAGGCCAGAGGACGACUUAGGGAACUGGUUUUUCCUUCCAUCACACAGGUUCUGGGAUCGAACUUGUUUGUGAGGCUUGCAACAAGGACUUUUACUUAUUGAGCCAUCUCAGCUCUCUACUAUUUUAAAAAAUUUACUUGUAGGGAAGGGGGGAAUUUAUACCACCCGGUGAGGUCAGAGGACAAGGUGAAGGACCCAGUCCAGGCCAUCAGGCUUGGCGGCAAGACCCUUUACCCCACCUUGAAUG